GUUGGAGACUGGAGCUGUUCCUAUUCGGCCAUCUUGCUCCGCCCCCAAUGCUCCCAAAUACAGAAUCUUAUCUCCAUUUCCCUUCUCCAAGUUUAUGUUUUAUUAUUGUGUAUUUUAGUUAUUAUUUUGAUUUGCAUACACAUAUAUGCAUAUAAACAUAUAUAAUGCACUUAUAUAUAUGUAGACAUUAAGUCCCAUGUUAUUAUUAUUUCAUUAAAAACAUAUUACUUAAGCUUUACUAACAUAUUUGGCUUUUCUGUUGCCUUUAUUUUUCCUGAAUCUGAGAGUGUCCUUGUGGGAUCAUUUUGCUUCUGCCUUAAGAACACUCUGUAGUAUUUGCUUUAGUGUAGGUCUGCUGGUGAUGAAUUCUUCAGUUUUCAGCUGUCUCUAAGUAUCUUCACAUCACUUUCACAUUUGAAGAAUUUUGUUUUUAUGAAUUUAGAAUUUUAGGUUUGAAGUGAUUUUGUCUCCACAGUUUGAAUAUAUCAUUCUAUUGUCUCCUGGAUUUCUUUAAGUUCAGUGAGUUUUUAAGUUCUUAUUGUUUUUCUCUUGGAGUGAAUGUGGCUUUUCUUUUCCUCUAGUUCCUGUUAAGAUUUGAGGCUGAUCUGUUUCUUGUCCUCUCUACUUCUAGGGCAUCCGUUCAUCCAACGCCUGGGGUCUUUACCACAGCCUGUCCUCCUCAGCGGGCUCUGAACUCGAGGGUUUGUCCCCUCUGUUCUGUGAGUCUGUUGCUAGCUCUGCUCGGAUUUUCAGGCUCUCAACCAUUGCUUGCAAAAUUGGAAAUCCUCACAGCACCCUGUGUUCCUGGGCAGCUACAUAAGUCUUGACAGGUCAGGUGGCCACAGCACCCCAGAAUGUUAUUCUGGCAGAAGGAAAAAGCACCCAUCUUGGAUUGCAGUCAGGUUCCAAGGCCUCAUUCUGUCACCCAAGCUGGAGCUCAAUGUCAUGAUCAUGGCUC